rnacentral:rRNA from 1 species
CGUAGGGUGCGAGCGUUAAUCGGAAUUACUGGGCGUAAAGCGUGCGUAGGCGGUUCGUUAAGUUCGUUGUGAAAGCCCCGGGCUCAACCUGGGAACUGCAAUGGAAACUGGCGGGCUUGAGUAUGGCAGAGGGGGUGGAAUUCCGCGUGUAGCAGUGAAAUGCGUAGAGAUGCGGAGGAACACCGAUGGCGAAGGCAGCCCCCUGGGCCAAUACUGACGCUCAGGCACGAAAGCGUGGGGAGCAAACAGGAUUAGAUACCCUGGUAGUCCACGCCCUAAACGAUGCUCACUAGGUGUUGGGGAAGCGAUUCCUUGGUACCGUAGCUAACGCGUGAAGUGAGCCGCCUGGGGAGUACGGCCGCAAGGUUA